UACGUAGGGUGCGAGCGUUGUCCGGAAUUAUUGGGCGUAAAGGGCUCGUAGGCGGUUUGUCGCGUCGGGAGUGAAAUCCACUGGCUUAACUGGUGGCUUGCUUUCGAUACGGGCAGACUGGAGGUAUGCAGGGGAGGACGGAAUUCCUGGUGUAGCGGUGAAAUGCGCAGAUAUCAGGAGGAACACCGGUGGCGAAGGCGGUUCUCUGGGCAUGUCCUGACGCUGAGGAGCGGAAGUGUGGGGAGCGAACAGG
rnacentral:rRNA from 1 species